GAUGAACGCUGGCGGCGUGCCUAAUACAUGCAAGUCGAACGAGGUGCUUUUGUAGCAAUACGAGAGUAUCCUAGUGGCGAACGGGUGAGUAACGCGUUGGUGACCUACCCCAAAGUGUGGGAUAACAGAUCGAAAGAUCUGCUAAUACCGCAUGUGGUCUUCGGAUUUAGAAACUGAUGACUAAAGGAGCAAUUCGCUUUGGGAGGGACCUGCGUCCCACCAGCUAGUUGGUGAGGUAACGGCUCACCAAGGCGACGACGGGUAGGGGACCUGAGAGGGUGGUCCCCAAGAACGGAACUGAGAACCGGUCCAUAAACCUACGGGUGGCAGCAGUAGGGAAUAUUGCUCAAGGGGCGAAAGCCUGAAGCAGCAACGCAGCGUGUGCGAUGAAGGCCUUCGGGUCGUAAAGCACUUUUCUGAGGGAUAAGAAAGGACAGUACCUCAGGAAUAAGUCUCGGCUAACUACGUGCCAGCAGCCGCCGUAACAC
rnacentral:rRNA from 1 species